GACGAACGCUGGCGGCGUGCUUAACACAUGCAAGUCGAACGGAAAGGCCCCCUUGUGGGGUACUCGAGUGGCGAACGGGUGAGUAACACGUGAGUAACCUACCCUUGACUUUGGGAUAACUUCAGGAAACUGGGGCUAAUACCGGAUAGGAGCUCCUGCUGCAUGGUGGGGGUUGGAAAGUGUCGGCGGUUGGGGAUGGACUCGCGGCUUAUCAGCUUGUUGGUGGGGUAGUGGCUCACCAAGGCUUUGACGGGUAGCCGGCCUGAGAGGGUGACCGGCCACAUUGGGACUGAGAUACGGCCCAGACUCCUACGGGAGGCAGCAGUGGGGAAUAUUGCACAAUGGGCGGAAGCCUGAUGCAGCAACGCCGCGUGCGGGAUGACGGCCUUCGGGUUGUAAACCGCUUUCGCCUGUGACGAAGCGUGAGUGACGGUAAUGGGUAAAGAAGCACCGGCUAACUACGUG
rnacentral:rRNA from 1 species